UCUGACCUUUACUCCAACUCUUGAUCACCGGCCCGAUUCGAAAUAAAUCCUCAGCAACAAAUUCUGGUGACUCAGGAAAGGAUGUAAUGGAAAUUAUACCCUUGAACAAUGGUUCCAAAAUACCAAUAAAAAAAAGUUGUUCCAAUAAGAGAUGCCAAAAGUUGCUCCCCUCAACAAAAACCUGGAUAUAGAAAUUAAA